rnacentral:tRNA from 1 species
ACCUGUGGCUCAAUUGGAUAGAGCAUCUGACUACGGAUCAGAAGGUUGUGGGUUCGAGUCCCGCCAGGUU